rnacentral:rRNA from 1 species
ACGGGACCCGCACAAGCGGUGGAUGAUGUGGAUUAAUUCGAUGCAACGCGAAAAACCUUACCUACACUUGACAUGUCUAGAAUCCCGCUGAGAGGUGGGAGUGCUCGAAAGAGAGCUAGAACACAGGUGCUGCAUGGCUGUCGUCAGCUCGUGUCGUGAGAUGUUGGGUUAAGUCCCGCAACGAGCGCAACCCUUUUCUAUAGUUGCUACGCAAGGGCACUCUAUAGAUACUGCCGGUGACAAACCGGAGGAAGGUGGGGAUGACGUCAAGUCCUCAUGGCCCUUAUGUGUAGGGCUUCACACGUCAUACAAUGGUCGGAACAGAGGGUCGCCAACCCGCGAGGGGGAGCCAAUCCCAGAAAACCGAUCGUAGUCCGGAUUGCACUCUGCAACUCGAGUGCAUGAAGUCGGAAUCGCUAGUAAUCGCGGAUCAGCAUGUCGCGGUGAAUACGUUCCCGGGUCUU